rnacentral:lncRNA from 1 species
GAUAGAUCGGCAAAAGGUCAUCUCCUAGCAGCUAGGGUUUUCAAAUUGAGCUCCCUUUUUUCUCUCCAAUGCCGUCGUUGGGUGUUGUUACCAACUCCACCUUCCUCCUUUUUUAUGCUAUGGAUCAUCAACAUCUUCCUCAUCUUUAUACCGUCAUUCAUCUUUCUCAGAUCGCAGAGGUCGACCUCCACUAUCUUUUGCACUUUUACACUUUUCCCAUUUUCCUUAUUUCUUCUGAACUCUUUUUUCUCUUUUACAAAGAUUAGCUCCGAUGGAUGAAAUGGUUAUCAACGUGGUUUCGAUAGAGCGACAAAAGGUCUUUUACUGUAGCUUCGAAUAAAAAAGGAAAAGCUCAUAAAAAUCAUCGAAUUCAAGCUUUGUCCAUGAGAUUUUCAGUACUGAUGGCCUCAUAAACAUCCUCCAUGCCUCUUUCAGUUUGAAAAGGUAACCCCAUCUCCCUUCUUUAUUUCUUUUCACUAUUAAUCUAUAUCAUUUUCCUUUGGUGAAUCAAUCUUUUCAUUGGAAAGGCACUUGAAGCAAGUAAAGAAAGAAUUUUACAAUUGCUAUUUGGAGUACCAUGAUUUAUACAAAUAAAAAGCAAACAACUUAAAAUAAUUUCAAGCCGAAAAUGUAGACAAGACAGGUGCAAGUAUACAAAUACAAAAGGAGAUUAAAGAAAGGAUUGAACGUACAUGAAGAACUCAAAAAAGCUAAUAAAUGUUUUUAUUUGAUUCAACAAUUUUAUAAUUAAAUAGGAUUACUGGCAAUAGAAAGUUGUAGUAAAUUCUUUCUAUUUUGGAGGUCUUUGGGAUUGGGUUUCCUUUCUGAAAAGUAGUAUCACACUAAGUGUAUUUGUUUGUUCAAUGAUAAUAUUCUUAAUUUAUUACAAAUAAAAAGAAGAAAAAAGUCCGAAGC